AGCGAACAGUAUUAGAUAUCAUGGUAGUACACGAGGUAUACGAUGAUCAGUAGAUGUUGGAUGGUAUGAUUGAGUGUUCCAGGGAAAGCGAUAAGUGAUCCACCUGAGGAGUACGUUUGCAAGAAUGAAACUCAAAGGAAUUCACGGGGGCGAGCACAAGCGGUAGAGCAUGUGAUCUAGUUGGACGAUACGUGAGGAACAUUAUCCUUGGGUACUAUGCCUAUAGUAUGAGCUGAAAGGUGGAGUUCGUUCGGGACAGACUGCAAGGUGGUGCAUGGUUGUCGUCAGAUGGUGCCGUGAGUUGGUGGGUUAAGUGCAAGCAUCGAGCGCAACCCCUAUCAUUAGUUGCCAUCAUUUAGGGUGGCGAUUCUAAUGAGCAUGCCUCAACAAGGAGAGAGGAAGAAGUCGAUGAGGUCAAAUCAUCAUGGCCUUUACGCCCAGGGCGACACACGUGAUACAAUGGACGAUUCAGCGGGUAGGGAGUAUGUGAAGAGGAGCCAAUCCAUAUAAGCCGUUAUUAGUUAGGUUGGGAGUAUGCAACUGGAAUCCAUGAAGUAGGAAUCUCUAGUAAUCGCCGAUCAAUCAUGUCGCGGUGAAUAUGUUCCCGGGCCUUGUACACACCAACGGUCAAUCCAUGGAAGACGAGGGCACUAGAAUUGGGUACUGCCGCCUAGGGCGAAAUUGGUAACUGGGGCUAAGUCGUAACAAGGUAGCCGUACCGGAAGGUGUGGCUGGAUCACCU
rnacentral:rRNA from 1 species